rnacentral:rRNA from 1 species
UAGGGAAUCUUCGGCAAUGGGGGCAACCCUGACCGAGCAACGCCGCGUGAGUGAAGAAGGUUUUCGGAUCGUAAAGCUCUGUUGUAAGAGAAGAACGUGUGUGAGAGUGGAAAGUUCACACAGUGACGGUAACUUACCAGAAAGGGACGGCUAACUACGUGCUAGCAG